rnacentral:rRNA from 1 species
CAGCAGUGGGGAAUAUUGCACAAUGGGGGAAACCCUGAUGCAGCGACGCCGCGUGGAGGAAGAAGGUUUUCGGAUUGUAAACUCCUGUCGUUAGGGACGAUAAUGACGGUACCUAACAAGAAAGCACCGGCUAACUACGUGCCAGCAGCCGCGGUAAAACGUAGGGUGCAAGCGUUGUCCGGAAUUACUGGGUGUAAAGGGAGCGCAGGCGGGAAGACAAGUUGGAAGUGAAAACCAUGGGCUCAACCCAUGAAUUGCUUUCAAAACUGUUUUUCUUGAGUAGUGCAGAGGUAGAUGGAAUUCCCGGUGUAGCGGUGGAAUGCGUAGAUAUCGGGAGGAACACCAGUGGCGAAGGCGGUCUACUGGGCACCAACUGACGCUGAGGCUCGAAAGCAUGGGUAGCAAACAGGAUUAGAUACCCUGGUAGUCCAUGCCGUAAACGAUGAUUACUAGGUGUUGGGGGAUUGACCCCCUCAGUGCCGCAGUUAACACAAUAAGUAAUCCACCUGGGGAGUACGACCGCAAGGUUGAAACUCAAAGGAAUUGACGGGGGCCCGCACAAGCAGUGGAGUAUGUGGUUUAAUUCGAAGCAACGCGAAGAACCUUACCAGGUCUUGACAUCCAACUAACGAAGUAGAGAUACAUUAGGUGCCCUUCGGGGAAAGUUGAGACAGGUGGUGCAUGGUUGUCGUCAGCUCGUGUCGUGAGAUGUUGGGUUAAGUCCCGCAACGAGCGCAACCCUUAUUGCCAGUUACUACGUUAAGAGGACUCUGGCGAGACUGCCGUUGACAAAACGGAGGAAGGUGGGGAUGACGUCAAAUCAUCAUGCCCUUUAUGACCUGGGCUACACACGUACUACAAUGGCGUUAAACAAAGAGAAGCAAGACCGCGAGGUGGAGCAAAACUCAAAAACAACGUCUCAGUUCAGAUUGCAGGCUGCAACUCGCCUGCAUGAAGUCGGAAUUGCUAGUAAUCGCGGAUCAGCAUGCCGCGGUGAAUACGUUCCCGGGCCUUGUACACACCGCCCGUCACACCAUGAGAGCCGGGGGGACCCGAAGUCGGUAGUCUAACCGCAAGGAGGACGCCGCCGAAGGUAAAACUGGUGAUUGGGGUGAAGUCGUAACAAGGUAGCCGUA